rnacentral:rRNA from 1 species
AGUGAACGCUGGCGGUAGGCCUAACACAUGCGAGUCGAACGGCAGCACAGUAAGAGCUUGCUCUUACGGGUGGCGAGUGGCGGACGGGUGAGGAAUACAUCGGAAUCUACUUUUUCGUGGGGGAUAACGUAGGGAAACUUACGCUAAUACCGCAUACGACCUACGGGUGAAAGCAGGGGAUCUUCGGACCUUGCGCGAUUGAAUGAGCCGAUGUCGGAUUAGCUAGUUGGCGGGGUAAAGGCCCACCAAGGCGACGAUCCGUAGCUGGUCUGAGAGGAUGAUCAGCCACACUGGAACUGAGACACGGUCCAGACUCCUACGGGAGGCAGCAGUGGGGAAUAUUGGACAAUGGGCGCAAGCCUGAUCCAGCCAUACCGCGUGGGUGAAGAAGGCCUUCGGGUUGUAAAGCCCUUUUGUUGGGAAGGAAAAGCAGCGGGUUAAUACCCCGCUGUUCUGACGGUACCCAAAGAAUAAGCACCGGCUAACUUCGUG